GAUGGCGCAUAGAGCUAUAGAACUUAUGGAUAUCUAAUGGAUAUCAUGUUCCGUGUGGGAUAAUUUCUUAUUUUUCCGGCAUCUAUCCCCCUUCUAGCGGAAGAUGUUGAUACAGAUACAGAGGCAGAAGUAUUAAAUGAAUUAAAUCUCCUCACAGAAAUUGAAGAAUCGCCACCUGGUUCUAUCCAUCUGGAAAUGAAUUCUUCAGAGGGAUUUAUUACAUAGAGGAUUACAUAGGGGAUUAUAACAAGAUCCAAGACGCCUAAAUAAUAAAGAAGGCGGUGACUCCACGCUGGAAUUAGGAGAAUUAGAACAAUUAUGUGUUAACAGAUGCAGUGAUGCAGAAAUAUUGUACAAUUUUGAAUGAAUACAGUUUGAUCUCUUUGAACAUUUCGAUAAUCUCUGCGAGCAUCACGGAUGUGAGAAGAUAUCUACAUUGGGCGACUGCUACUAUUGCGUGAGCGGAUGUCCUGAGCCGAGGCCUAAUCACACAAAGUGCUGCAUAGAAAUGGGUCUAGCUAUGAUCUAACAGCUAUGAUCGAAGCGAUCAAACAAUUCGACAUCGAAAGAAGGGAAGGUGUGAACAUGAGAAUAGGUGUGCAUACGGGCACUGUGCUCUGCGGAAUCGUGGGUAUAAAAAGAUUCAAGUUCAAUGUCUGAUCGAACGAUGUGACAUUGGCGAAUAAACUCGAGAGCGGGAAACGGGAAAACCCGGUCGUGUACACUUGAAUGAGAAUACUUUGAGAUUUCUGGACGACCAGUACAUUACGGAAGAAGGAGAACUAGUCAAUGGCAUUAAAACUUAUUUCAUCCGAACUUGCAAGUCGAACUUCAUGAAUCAAUUUAUCACGAACGUUACGUCACCGAAAAGUAUCUCACCGUUAAUGCAGUCACGUAGCCGUCUGGCGUCGUGCAAUACUCAGGUUAAGCCAUAUCAUCAUUAUCUCCACAUGGUCAUCAACACGAGCAACUACCGGAUGAAAGCCAAUUCCUUGCUGAGUAUCUUGGAUUCUGAGAAUAGUGGCGACACUAUGGACGAAAAAGAGGAUUCCAACAAGAGCCUGACGUCCACCGCUAGUUACGGCAAGAAGAAAGUAUGAAACAAACCGUGGAAGUACUUGCAGAGGCAACGAACGACCAAGGAGAUGACACCGCUGGAGAUAGAGGGGGGGAGAAACAUCGCCAUGGGACGAGCGAAACCUGAAGUCCAGGCGUAUGAGGAGUGCAAUAGAUUCCUCUUACCAAUGACGUCGAGAUGGAUCCGAAUCCUGUACCUUCUACUCUUAUUAUCUGGUCAAGAACCGAUUAAUCACGCUUCUUCCAUAUGCAGCAGGAAGGAUUCCGGCAUCAAGAGCAACAGCAAGCGAAGUAGUAUACAACAGCAGUUAUUCCUAAUAAACGGCAUGGCCCAAGGCGAUCUUUUAGGACACAGGAUCAGUGGCUAUUAUACUUCUAGUUGGACGUUAAAUUCUACUCACGAGCCUUCGUCGUCGAUACCUCCUUACCCGUUUCCACCGAUAGUGACGGGUACAUUCGGUGCAUGCUUUCAUAAACCGCGGCGCAUGCUUUCAUAAACUGCGAAAGCGAUCCGAUCUCCAGUUGAUUAGAUGUGUCUAAGACAACGUGAGCUCUCAACGUUCGUACUUCGUUAAGCCACCGCUGUCCAACGUUACUCUCUUUUUCAAGAACAAGGAGAUGGAGAAGGAGUACCGAGAGAAUGCGCACAAAGCUAGUGAAGGUAUUCGCGGCAAUCCGCUUACCCUGACUACUUCGAGGUUCAACAUGUAUUUUGAUAUUUUGAUAUCCGCUCUGAUCUACACAGCCAUCACGAUCUCUCUUUUCAUAUUAUAUAAAAAUAUAAGGGAAAAAACCCUCUCGAGAGAGAAAGAGCUCCAUAAUUUCCAUUCCCGGAUCCACUCUAUUAUGUUUAUAUAUGAGAAGAUAUAUUGAUACAUGGAAAUAUUCUUACAUCUUGUAAUUACAUGCACACAUGGCAAAAUAUGUUUUUGAGAAGAACAAAGGAAAAUAUAAUGAAAAAGAUAUGAAAAGAAGAGCAGAAAUGAAGAGAAAAAAGAAAAAGAGAAAAAACGUGAGGAGGAGGCAGAAGAACGUUUAGCCACUUUAUAUAAAAUUGGAGAUCGCUGUGAGGUAUCUGUUCUAAAUCAAUGAAAACGAAGAGCUACAAUUUUAUAUGUUGGUCAGUAAAAAAUUAUAUCUUUAUUAUGUUAACAAAUAGUGUGAACAAUAUCAUUAAAACGCAAGAUGAUAAUAAAAGUUACUUUAUUUGGUU